AUUGAACGCUGUCGGCAGGCCUAACACAUGCAAGUCGAACGGUAACAGGAAGCAGCUUGCUGCUUUGCUGACGAGUGGCGGACGGGUGAGUAAUGUCUGGGAAACUGCCCGAUGGAGGGGGAUAACUACUGGAAACGGUAGCUAAUACCGCAUAACGUCGCAAGACCAAAGAGGGGGACCUUAGGGCCUCUUGCCAUCGGAUGUGCCCAGAUGGGAUUAGCUAGUAGGUGGGGUAACGGCUCACCUAGGCGACGAUCCCUAGCUGGUCUGAGAGGAUGACCAGCCACACUGGAACUGAGACACGGUCCAGACUCCUACGGGAGGCAGCAGUGGGGAAUAUUGCACAAUGGGCGCAAGCCUGAUGCAGCCAUGCCGCGUGUAUGAAGAAGGCCUUCGGGUUGUAAAGUACUUUCAGCGGGGAGGAAGGGAGUAAAGUUAAUACCUUUGCUCAUUGACGUUACCCGCAGAAGAAGCACCGGCUAACUCCGUG
rnacentral:rRNA from 1 species